rnacentral:rRNA from 1 species
CAGGCUUAACACAUGCAAGUCGAGGGGCAGCAUUUUAGUUUGCUUGCAAACUAAAGAUGGCGACCGGCGCACGGGUGAGUAACACGCAUCCAACCUGCCGAUAACUCGGGGAUAGCCUUUCGAAAGAAAGAUUAAUAUCCGAUAGUAUAUUUUCUCCGCAUGGCGAGAAUAUUAAAGAAUUUCGGUUAUCGAUGGGGAUGCGUUCCAUUAGUUUGUUGGCGGGGUAACGGCCCACCAAGACUACGAUGGAUAGGGGUUCUGAGAGGAAGGUCCCCCACAUUGGAACUGAGACACGGUCCAAACUCCUACGGGAGGCAGCAGUGAGGAAUAUUGGUCAAUGGACGAGAGUCUGAACCAGCCAAGUAGCGUGAAGGAUGACUGCCCUAUGGGUUGUAAACUUCUUUUAUAUGGGAAUAAAGUAUUCCACGUGUGGGAUUUUGUAUGUACCAUAUGAAUAAGGAUCGGCUAACUCCGUGCCAGCAGCCGCGGUAAUACGGAGGAUCCGAGCGUUAUCCGGAUUUAUUGGGUUUAAAGGGAGCGUAGGUGGAUUGUUAAGUCAGUUGUGAAAGUUUGCGGCUCAACCGUAAAAUUGCAGUUGAAACUGGCAGUCUUGAGUACAGUAGAGGUGGGCGGAAUUCGUGGUGUAGCGGUGAAAUGCUUAGAUAUCACGAAGAA